CGGGGAGGUAGUGACGAAAAAUAACGAUACGGGACUCAUCCGAGGCCCCGUAAUCGGAAUGAGUACACUUUAAAUCCUUUAACGAGGACCAAUUGGAGGGCAAGUCUGGUGCCAGCAGCCGCGGUAAUUCCAGCUCCAAUAGCGUAUAUUAAAGUUGUUGCGGUUAAAAAGCUCGUAGUUGAAUCUGUGUGUCACAGUGUCGGUUCACCGCUCGCGGUGUCUAACUGGCAUUAUGUGGUACGUCCUACCGGUGGGCUUAGCUCCUUGCGGGCGGUCCAACUAAUCUCCCAUCGCGGUGCUCUUCACUGAGUGUCGAGGUGGGCCGGUACGUUUACUUUGAACAAAUUAGAGUGCUCAAAGCAGGCUACCUUCGCCUGAAUACUGCGUGCAUGGAAUAAUGGAAUAGGACCUCGGUUCUAUUUUGUUGGUUUUCGGAACCCCGAGGUAAUGAUUAAUAGGGACAGAUGGGGGCAUUCGUAUUGCGACGUUAGAGGUGAAAUUCUUGGAUCGUCGCAAGACGGACUAAAGCGAAAGCAUUUGCCAAAAAUGUUUUCAUUAAUCAAGAACGAAAGUUAGAGGUUCGAAGGCGAUCAGAUACCGCCCUAGUUCUAACCAUAAACGAUGCCAGCUAGCGAUCCGCCGAAGUUCCUCCGAUGACUCGGCGGGCAGCUUCCGGGAAACCAAAGCUUUUGGGUUCCGGGGGAAGUAUGGUUGCAAAGCUGAAACUUAAAGGAAUUGACGGAAGGGCACCACCAGGAGUGGAGCCUGCGGCUUAAUUUGACUC
rnacentral:rRNA from 3 species